UGCAGCUCCACGCUCCACUGCUCUGGGACAGUUUAUAGUCCCGGGAGCUGAGGACGGGAUGACUGACGGUUCUCCCUCAUGACCACAGACCUCCUGCUCUUCAGAAACAUGAGCUUCAUCUCCGUCCUCGUCUGGACUCUGCUCUGCUGCUGCUUCACAGAGUCCAGGGGACAAGUCACAGUGACCCAGCCUGGAGCAGUGAGAUCCGCUGUGGGAGGCUCCGUCACCAUCUCCUGUAGAACCAGUGAGACUGUUUAUAAUUCAAACCGUCUGGUCUGGUACCAGCAGAGAGAUGGAGAAGCUCCCAAACUGAUGAUUCACACGACUUCCACUCGAGCUUCAGGGAUUCCAGGUCGUUUUUCAGGCAGUGGCAGUGGCACCGACUUCACUCUGACCAUCCGUGGAGUCCAGGCUGAAGAUGCUGCAGUUUACCACUGCAUCGGGGAGUUUGAUGCCAACAAGUGGGAUGUGUUCACACAGUGAAAAACCACCGUACAAAAACCUCGUGAACAGAAACUGAAGUGGCAGCUGGACGCUUCACACUUCACUGAGGACACACAGACACACACACACACACACACACACAUGGAGGGGGGGCAGAGAACAAGUCAAUGAGAGCUGAGAGUCGGAAUGAAACCGCCCGUCAGUGUUUCACUUCCCUCUCUGAGAUCUGAACCGUGGCAACAGACGAGUUUCAGUGCUGAAGAUAAAAAGUUUGAAAAGUGAGAAAAUCUUAACUGGUACAAGCUGCCUCGGAUAAGUCAAAUACUUAUGUAGUGUUCAUUUCAAUUAGCACAAGAGAAACAUCCCAAAAAUAUGGACGUUUAUAUAUAUAUAUAAGUAAACAGAUAACUCUUCAUAAACCAUCAUGUCAGUUUUCUGAGGACAUGAUGUAUAUGAGGAGUUAUCUGAGGACAUGAUGGUAUAUGAGGACUUUAUGGUAUAUGAGGAGUUAUCUGAGGACAUGAUGUAUAUGAGGAGUUAUCUGAGGACAUGAUGG